rnacentral:rRNA from 1 species
UACGGGGGGGGCAAGCGUUGUUCGGAAUUACUGGGCGUAAAGGGCUCGUAGGUGGCCAACUAAGUCAGACGUGAAAUCCCUCGGCUUAACCGGGGAACUGCGUCUGAUACUGGAUGGCUCUGAGUUUGGGAGAGGGAUGCGGAAUUCCAGGUGUAGCGGUGAAAUGCGUAGAUAUCUGGAGGAACACCGGUGGCGAAGGCGGCAUCCUGGACCAACACUGACGCUGAGGAGCGAAGGCGUGGGGAGCGAGCCGG